rnacentral:rRNA from 1 species
GGGGGCUUGCUCCCGGGUUAGUGGCGAACGGGUGAGUAAUAUAUCGGAACAUAUCCGGAAGUGGGGGAUAACGUAGCGAAAGUUACGCUAAUACCGCAUAUGCCCUGAGGGGGAAAGGGGGGGAUCGCAAGACCUCUCGCUUUCGGAGUGGCCGAUACCGGAUUAGCUAGAUGGUGAGGUAAAGGCUCACCAUGGCGACGAUCCGUAGCUGGUCUGAGAGGACGACCAGCCACACUGGAACUGAGACACGGUCCAGACUCCUACGGGAGGCAGCAGUGGGGAAUUUUGGACAAUGGGCGAAAGCCUGAUCCAGCCAUACCGCGUGAGUGAAGAAGGCCUUCGGGUUGUAAAGCUCUUUCAGCCGGAAAGAAAUCGCACUUUUUAAUACGGAGUGUGGAUGACGGUACCGGAAGAAGAAGCACCGGCUAACUACGUGCCAGCAGCCGCGGUAAUACGUAGGGUGCGAGCGUUAAUCGGAAUUACUGGGCGUAAAGCGUGCGCAGGCGGUUUGAUAAGCCAGAUGUGAAAUCCCCGGGCUUAACCUGGGAACUGCAUUUGGAACUGUCAGACUAGAGUGUAGCAGAGGGGGGUAGAAUUCCACGUGUAGCAGUGAAAUGCGUAGAUAUGUGGAGGAAUACCAAUGGCGAAAGCAGCCCCCUGGGUUAACACUGACGCUCAUGCACGAAAGCGUGGGGAGCAACAGGAUUAGAUACUCCUGGUAGUCCAC